UAGGGAAUAUUGCUUAAUGGGCGAAAGCCUGAAGCAGCAACGCCGCGUGUGCGAUGAAGGCCUUCGGGUUGUAAAGCACUUUUUGAGGGGAUGAGGAAGGACAGUACCCUCAGAAUAAGCCUCGGCUAACUACGUGCCAGCAGCCGCGGUAAAACGUAGGAGGCGAGCGUUAUCCGGAUUUACUGGGCGUAAAGGGCAUGUAGGCGGGCUCUUAAGUCGGAUGUGAAAUCUCUUGGCUUAACCGGGAGGGGUCAUUCGAUACUGGGAGUCUUGAGGGCAGGAGAGGGAAGUAGAAUUCCCGGUGUAGUGGUGGAAUACGUAGAUAUCGGGAGGAAUACCAGUGGCGAAAGCGGCUUCCUGGCCUGUGCCUGACGCUGAUAUGCGAAAGCGUGGGUAGCAAACGG
rnacentral:rRNA from 1 species